GGACUUAUAGGGAAAUAUAAUAUUUAUUGCAUUUGCGGUUAGUGAUAGAUAAUUACAGGUGACUUCACAUCAACUGAAGGUGCUUUACAAGCCCCGUUCUGUUCCCUGAACAUGCUUCAAAUUACCGUCCUACUUCAGCAGAUAGUGACAUCCCACUAUUGAUCACUUGAAUUUGAACCAUAUCUAGGGUGCUUCGAGGAAAGACGUACCCUAUGCAGAGCUGGCCAUGGAAGUACUUGGACGUAGUACAUCAUAUGCUGCUAUCAGAUUGAUAUGGUGAAGGAAGUCGCAUCACAUUCGCGUAAUCAUGUUCCUGUUCCUGUACCUGUAAUAUAAAAAAAUAUAUAUAUAUA
rnacentral:misc_RNA from 1 species